CAGGCAUGUUAGCAAGGCUAUGAGGGUGAACUGAAGUCCCUUAUUUAUUUAUUUUUUUACUUGGCUGGGCUGGUGAUACAAUGAAAGGCAUCACCUGCUAGUCAUAGUCUUCACCUGCAUUAUCCAUGAAACCCUUUCCAUCCAGCUCUGUACUUCAAGUGCCUGUGUAGGUGAACCACCAGGAAAGCAGCAUAAAACAUGGGGAGAAAUUUCACCUGGCUAUAUUUCUGAGUGAAAUAUUUAAUUCAGAGAGGCCAAUAGGAAAUUAACAAUCCAUUUAGAAUAAAGGCUGGCCAGAUAGCACUAAUGCUUUUGUCUCUUGUCCAGGGGUUUUCAUAUGCUCUUGAAACCAUUGAGCUCUCUUUUAUUGAAGGUCUAUGCUUUUUCCUGUAACUGUGCCCACAGGAAAUGUGCACGUUUAUGUCUGCAGAUCCCUUUUGCUUUAUGGCAGUCCUACAUGACCCCUCUCUCCCCUAGCACUUCGCACGCUGAGCUGAGAAACCUCCUUCGUCUUGUGAAGGUCUGCGUCCUUCCAGUAUCGCUCUGGCAGAAGAAAGCGAGGACAUCUUGGAGAGCCCUAGAGGGACUCACCAGGGGGUUGCUCCAUGUAUUUCUCAAUAAGAAGAUCAGUUCAAAAUAAAUAAAUAAAUAAAUAAUGCAUUGAAUGAAAGGAGCAUUAUUUGCAUUACUUUAAAAUUUUAUAAUACUUGGACCAAUAACUAGCUGUUGGUGAUUUCUGUAAUCAUUCAGGUAUCAUGAAAAUAAAAUCUGUGCAGUGUUUGCAUUUGUUAUAUAGUGAUAUUUUUAUCACUGGGUUUUAGUAAUGUGAGAAUUGAUAUCUUAAUUUAUAAUCACCAGAAACUCCCUCUAUAAAAAUAUAACCACAGACUGUGCUGUUGUUAUAAAUAGUUUAAUCUAUAUUUAUAUGAUAU
rnacentral:lncRNA from 1 species